ensembl:piRNA 21ur-14612 ncRNA
UUAAUAACUUUGGGUGAAAAU